GCUCGGUGGUAUAAUGGUAGCACGCGUCCCCGGUAUGGAUGAAACGCGAGUUUGAGUCCCGUCUGAAGUA